AUGAACGCUGGCGGCGUGCCUAAUACAUGCAAGUCGAGCGAACAGAUGAGGAGCUUGCUCCUCUGACGUUAGCGGCGGACGGGUGAGUAACACGUGGAUAACCUACCUAUAAGACUGGGAUAACUUCGGGAAACCGGAGCUAAUACCGGAUAAUAUAUUGAACCGCAUGGUUCAAUAGUGAAAGACGGUUUUGCUGUCACUUAUAGAUGGAUCCGCGCCGCAUUAGCUAGUUGGUAAGGUAACGGCUUACCAAGGCAACGAUGCGUAGCCGACCUGAGAGGGUGAUCGGCCACACUGGAACUGAGACACGGUCCAGACUCCUACGGGAGGCAGCAGUAGGGAAUCUUCCGCAAUGGGCGAAAGCCUGACGGAGCAACGCCGCGUGAGUGAUGAAGGUCUUCGGAUCGUAAAACUCUGUUAUUAGGGAAGAACAAAUGUGUAAGUAACUAUGCACGUCUUGACGGUACCUAAUCAGAAAACCACGGCUAACUACGU
rnacentral:rRNA from 1 species